rnacentral:lncRNA from 1 species
ACUGUGGAGGGUUGAGAGCAAGAGGUAAAAUGUAAACUCAUUAGAUUUAUAAUUUAAAAUUCCUGAUUGUGGUAAGAUAUUUUAAGCAUUAGGAUGAGAUUAGAUCGAUCAUUGAACAAGAUUUGUCAUAAAAAUCUGUAUGUAUUGAGCUAUAUUCAUGAUCUACAAAAUCUAGUUUGGAGAUCUGAAACCAAGUCAAUAUCUAAAAAGUGACUAGAAAUACAAGUAUUCAUUUCUAGAUAUGCAAGCCAGGUGCUGCUAGUAAGUCUCUGUAUUUGAGUACCUCAUCUGUAUGAUGCAGGAUGUAUGUGACACUAACUGAAAAGAAUCUGUUCAGAGCACUAUGGGGAAGCUAACAGGAAGUGUGUGUGUGUGUGUGUGUGUGUGUGUGUGUGUGUGUGUGUGUGUGUGUGUGUGUGUCUGUGUCUGUGUCUGUGUGUGUGUGUGAGAGAGAGAGAGAGAGAGAGAGAGAGAGAGAGAGAGAGAGAGAGAGAGAGAGAGAGAGAAGCACUUAGGAUUGAAAAAUUGUUUUCAGCAAUCCUUUUGGCAUCCCUUAAGAAUGGACUUUUUCCAAUUGAGCAGCAGGUUCUUACCCAAGGGCAGGUCCAUGACUAGAUCUGACACCUAGACUACAUCUAUAAAUCUACACACCUACAAUACAUGCCUAUAGGAAAACAAAAACAAAUAAAAAGCCAAAAUCAAAUAAAAAUAAAAACAAGGAAUCGCUUUUCUAUGCAUUUGCGAUAUACAUAGCUGCCACUUAAAAACCCCUACUGAAUGUUGAUCACUGUCUUCUUUUCGACUGUUUAUGAAACCCUCAUGUUUUGUAACAUUUUUUCCAUCAUGUCACUGUUUCAAUCUCUCUGUUAUUUUCAUUUGGAGCAAGGAAGUUGAGUCACUUAUUAAGGCCUUUGGAGGAUGAGUACUCAAAGAAGAAGUCCUCAUCUACUUCUUUAAUUCCUAGUAUUUGCUGGCUUACACCCAGACGGUACGUCUUGAAGCAUUGCUUGCUUUAUGUUUAGGCCCUCCUGUUUAGACUAGUAAAAGGCAAAAGACGCUCAGAAAACACUAUAGCAUUAAAGGGGUAGUUUUAUUUAAAUGAAUAUUUGGAGGGAGUAAUACUUUUCUUUUUCACUCAAAUGCCCACAGAAUAAAAGGAGCCCUUUUGAAUAAAAUUCAGUAAACAAUAAUAAUCUCUCCUUUCCAGAUCAAAAUAUAGGAACAAAGAUUAAGUGGGAAUUUCUGAUACAUAUGAUUAUUCUCUGACCUAUCACACAAGGUAAAAAAAAAAAAAGAAGAAGAAAAAAAAGAAAAAGUUAUAGCACUAUUUUCUGGUUUCUCUAUGAAGCUAUAAAAAUGUAUAUGUGAUUCAGUCAUCUCUUAAAGAAAAAAAUAUGCAACAUAUAAAAUGAAUGUGUUUAAUAGUGUUGUAAAAUCUCAGCCACCUCUUAUUUUCAGUAGCAAAUGUAUUCAUUAGUGUCCCUCUUGCUAAUAGUAGCAUCAUUAUGAAUCCACACAUAUGAUUAAGAAAACACUGUGUGCAUUAGCCACAGAGGAUAAUUUUCCCUUUGGGAUUUAAUUGUUGUGUUUGAAGGAGUGAAGUGCAAUCACUAGGAAAGGCUGAGGGACCAGUGCAUUUAGGCUCCUGGGUCUAGUUCUCAUUAUGUAUGUGUGAAUAUUAUUUUGUGCAGUGAAGGAAGGGUACAAGGUAUUAUGGACAUAUGGUAUGCAUGAAAAUGUAACAUUUUGCUAAGUUCUUUGACACCAGAAUCACUAACCAGGUUGGAAAGAAGCAAAACUGUCUCUUCAGGAGGGCAUCUUAGCUUCUUUAUUGUUCUCUCUAGAGUGGGAAAUUCUCUAAAGCAAAGUUGUCUCUUAAACAACUUAAAAAGCCCUGACAUUACUACCUAUAGAAAAAUCUAGAGUCCUGGAUAACUAAACGCCAGGCCUUUCUUGGUCUAUUACUUAUGAUUUUGCUUAUUUAUAAGCACAAAACACUCAUUACCUUAAUCUUAGAAUAGUGUGACAUUCUCUCAGGGGAGAAAAACCUAUGGAGGAUUGGACAGACAACAAUACCUUUUUUGGGUGAAACAUGCCAUGUAUGUUGGAUCCCUUCUGCCAAAGUAUCUAGCACCUCUGUGAACAUUUCACCCCAUCAUAAAGUAACUUGUGAGUGGAUAUAAAUUCAUCAGGAAGAGAGGUUAGAGAAUUGGAUGGGCCAAAGAAAGUCAGCUGCUUCUUCGUUGUAUAGGGAACAACCUGGAUUCGAUUUCAAAUCACUGUGGUUCAUUGUUAUUUCUAAGAACUAAAAGGAUGCCAUGAACUAAUUGAAGAAACUGACUAGGACAAGAGAACAAGAAAGAUAACGUGAGAAAGAGCUACCUUUCACAGGAGUCAUAAAGUGAGAUCCUUAUACGCCACCUUGGACACUCUUGAGUCAGUACUGAACCACUGCCCCGUUGCAGUAAUAACUUGGGAUAAAAUAAAGCAUCCUCCAAGGAGGCAUUUAGUGGUGAGCUAAGGCUGAGAGCCUUCAAGGACAUUUAUCUCCAUAGUAGCAAUGCUUGACUCUUUGUGGUUUCCACAAAUCUCCGUAAAAGGCAUUGAUCGCCGCUGUCAGUAUGAUUAGAGGAAGCGCCGAUGCAUAGCAUGUUUAUGAUUUUGAAAAGAAAAAAAAAAGUCUCACGUACUCAUCAUAUACCAUGUAGAGGUUUUCAUUCCUGGAAAAGAUAAAGUGUCCAUUUUAAAGUGAAGUUCUCUAUCUUUGGUCCUGUGCUUAAGUAGUUUUGUCUAUUAUUUAGAUUGUGCCUAAAGACCAAGAAAGUGGUCCUGAUCUGUGACUUUAAUCAUUUCUCUUACUUCUGGGCUCAUCCUCUCCCACCUUUUCAAAACCGAGAUUAGUGCUCCUUAAAUGCAUUUUACACC